UUGAGGUCGGAUGGAGCGAGAACAGAAUCUUCUUGAACAGCCUUUCUUGGUUUGAGGUUUAAUCGCUCGCUCAGAGGCAUCACCUGCUAUCAGAGUAGACUGACGAGUCGGAGGGUUCCUCAAACCAGCUGGAAGAUGAAAGAGUGAAUACCUCAAGGACCAGAGCCCUUUCCUUGAAUGAAGGAGCCCUUGGAGGGAAGCCCUGGUGAGAAGAGGUCUUGGAUUACCCAGGGUCGGAGCUAUUAUGGUAUGGAGAGAGGUGUAGCUGAAACAGAGGAUAUCUGAAAUAUGUCAAGGUCAUAAAGCUAAGCCAGACUUUUCAAUGAUCAUCAUCAUCUUUAUCAUAUAAUCAAGUGUCUAUCUUCAUUCCUUGAAAAUGAUAAAAUGCCUUUCCUAUAUGUAACAUUGUCCCAAUAUGUUGUGCACAUUAAAUGUAUAUAUAAACAUGGAAUUUUUAAGAAAAUGAGAAUAAAAUUUCAUAAAUAAUAAUUUAAAUACUUAUACUUCAUACAUUAAAGAUUCAAGUCAUAUCAAUAACAUUCUCUGAAAAGAGCAGUAUGAUUAAAUAUGCUUCAUUGAUUUUGAAAAAGAAAGCUUAAUGAUCUGAUCUAAACAAGUUAACAUCUAAAGGUGGGUAAGUAUCGAUAUUCAGUUUUAAUAUCUACAUUGCUUAGCUGUUCUGUUUUUUGAUUAGUGUAAUUCCUUCUUUCUUUCCUGAUGUCCUUGUUCUUGUAAAUUUUGUGAAUUAGAAAUUUUAUAUAUAUAUAUGUAUAUAUAUAUGUGUGUGUGUGUGUGCACGCGUGUGUGUGUCUGUGUAUAAAACCUUAAACUAAUGGCUUCAAACCUAUCAAAGUUUUCCAUUUAGUAGAUUUUCAAGCAGUUUAGAUAAGGUGGAUAGUUUUAAAAUGUGCAGGUGUGUAGAGACACACUUUGCCAUAUGAUCAUCAAUAAACCUCUGGAUAUCAAUAAAAUUCUUUCACAGCCACUUCCUCUCUGUGUAAAGUAUUGAAAUAUUCUAAAUGAUGUUAUAGUUAUUGUUUUUGUAACAUCAUCAGUUUGACUAUAUCUUAUACAGAUUUAUACUUUAUAUUAAUAUUUUUGUCAGGCUUUGGUGUAUUUCCUAUGAGGGCCUCACAAAAUAUAUUAAGGGAUAUUCCUAAUUUUUCUAUCUUAUGAAAGAGUUUGGAAAGAUUGGUGUUAUUUCUUCUAUGAAAGUAAGCCAUUGAGGGCAUUACACUAAGUGAAAUAAGUCAGCCAGAAAAGAAAUACAGGGUCAUAUUACUUAUAUGUGAAAUCAAAACAAAACAAAGUCAUAAAAGCAAAGAUUGGAAUGGUGGUUAGCAGGGGCUGGGAAGUUGAGAGAAAGGGGAAAUAUUGGUCAAAGAUUACAAGCUUCAGUUAUUUGUUGAAAGAAAUUCUGGGCAUCUAAUCUACAGCAUAGAGAUUCUGAUUAAUAAUACUGAGGUAAUAUACU